rnacentral:lncRNA from 1 species
AUUCAUCAGUCAACUCAUACAUGUAUAGGUAUGUAGCGACGGUGGAGGCAGGCAGGAUUCGGAGCGGUGGAAUGGAUCAUAGAUCCGGCGGUCGUUUAGCUCACCCUGCAGCAUGAAGCAAGAAUCAGUAUAUGCAUUUCAUGCAUGCAGUGAUUAAUUUAAUUACGUGCUGGUUGAAGCAAAAUUAAAGUCGAAGAUAUGGAUGAUUGAUCGAGGUGUUAAUUACCUGGAGCAGUCGGUGGAGGUGCUGAUGGAGUAUGGGAUGCUGACGCCGCACUUGGAUGGGAUGCUGGCGGCGUUGCCGGCGUUGAGUCCGCUGAUCCCCCUGGCGGCGUUCUUGAGGCAGUUGCAGGCGGCGCGCCUGUCGGCGGUGGUCCUGGCGGCGGAGUUGAGGCUCCUGACGCCGUUGCAGCAGCCGGCGGAGGGGGCGGAGCCCUGGCCGCGGGCGUAAGGGAGGCACUGGCCGAUGGCGGAGUUGACCUGGCCGCAGCUGAUGGCGGCCUCGGAGGCCGCCGCGGCGAGCAGCACCGCGGCCACGACGGCGAGCACCACCACCUGAGCGCGAGCCAUGCUGAUGUGCGUGUUCCUGUGCUAGCUGCUAGCUGCGCUGUGGUCGAUGGAUCGGAUGUGCUCUACAAGCUGCUUGGGAAGAAUGUGCUUUGCUUUGCUGGUGAGGAGGGAAUGUUGGUCUUUAAAUAGGGUCUCGAUCGACCUAGCUCUCUGUGUGGUUUGUGAGCGAUGACUGACGAGGACGGAGACGGGGAGCUGCUAGCUGAUGGGUGCAUGCAUGGCCAUGCCCAUGGUGUGUUGCAGUCGUCGGUGGAUCCCUGUCGUUGGUGUCGGUCUCGAUCGACCGGAUGGGAGUUAAGGGACCGGCAGGAGGUAGUUGGGAGUUGGGCCAGCAGAUGAUGGUCGGUGUGCAGUUGAGGCAGCACGCAUUCAAUUCAUUCAGUGUCAGUGAUCGAGGGUUUGGGGGGUGGAUGCGAGUGCUUAUCGAUGAUAAUUGUACGUUUAAACAUCAUACCAAUCCAUCCGUCCAUUCGUUUACACGGAUCGAUCCUUCCAGCUGUAAUCUUCCCACAAUAGUUAAUGCAUGGCUGCAACCAGAAACAAAUUAAAGACACGUACUCUUCCAGGAGGUUAGCCGUUGGUAAACUGAUUAAGUGAUGAAUUUACCCAGCAUAGUGACAGCAGACAGAUGCACAAGCAGGAAGCACCGACGGUUGCCGAAACUCGUUUGUCCACCCAGACCCUCCAGCUGCAGCCAUCGAGCUGCUAGCGAUGGACAACUGCAUGGGCCGGACGUCGCGACUGUGGUGUGGAUCGACACACCGCUACAUGCUUGUACAAGCCGCUGAGUACGAGUGAGGGAAGCGGUGCAACUCGUACACACUUGACAUCUGUCCAAGUCCAUGCAUCUACAUGCAUGUAUCUGCAUGCUCCAUAAGAAAAAAAAAGAAGAACGGUCUCGGACUGCGUCGGGGAUCUGAAUCGGGAUACUAAAUGCCACCCUCGCUGAACCGUCACCAAAGGUAAGCAACGUUUACUUAAGCGUGAUUGUAGGAAAUAAUGUUUGGACAGAGCAAAGGAGAUCCGCGACGUUUACUUAAGUGUGAUGGUAGGAAAUGAUGUUUGGACAGAGCAGAGAAGGUCCGGUUUCGCUUCGUGGGAUCAAGGAAAAAGUCGUGAAGGUCCAGGACACCUUCGCAUAUAGGUGACACGUGUCCUGCAUCAAUGUCCUGCCAAGUGCUAAUCGUGACACGUGUACCUACGAGUGCAUCAAAUAGCGGUCUCCUAUACACCGUAGGAGUACUAUGUAUUCAUGGCCUACUUAACUUUUAUUCGCGGACACUUGCUAGAGCGGGCACGCAAGGCUUGCAACUUUGCAAGUGGGUCGGCGUCCCACCGUGGAGAGUCAUAGCUGCUUGGCACAUGCAUUCCCCUGUGCCACCAACCUCUUGGCCCUCUUCUAGAACAAACAUAAAGAUGGCACUAUUAUUGGAUUAAGGUCAUGUUGCUGUUGUUGUGCAUAAGAUCAUUCCACAGAUUUACUAAUUUUGUCGUCGUUUCACCCGUAUGAUCAUGUGUUUAUGAGACCAUUAUCAUUGUGUUGUACAUAAAGCCAUUCUUAAUGAAACUCCGCCCCUCUCUCUUCGUAACCAUCUUGCUGUGCCAUUAAAGUUGUACGUGUCACAUCAUUUAAUAAAAUAAACUCUUUUGAAACACUAGUCUUCUUCUCCCUCGUGCGGAUACUCACACAAAUAUAUACACUAGUGGUGCUCUAAAACGAGCUGCAGCAAUUGCUUAGCUAAUAAUGGGGCGACUUUUGUUUUACUCUUGCUCAAUUUUUUUAACAAAUAAAAAUUAUGGCAUGCUAUCGUGUUUUUGGGCUCAUCCCAGAAAAAGGUGAAAGAAAAGCCAGCAAACAAAACAGAUCAGCCCAUAUACAAAACAGGAACAAGCAAUUUUAUACAAAAAGGAAAAGUCUAUCUAACACCCUUCAACUAUCGUGUGAGAUAGAAUUUGCUCCUCCAAAGUGUGGCGCUAGGUCUCUCACCUCCCUUGCUUGGGCCGAGACCGAAAACAAAGCCCAUAAAACUAGAAAGGCUUUGAAAAGCCCACAUCCGGAUAUCAUGCCAAAGCCGUACGGCCCAACAGAAGACUGUUGCUGUGCAUUCCAUGCAGUCCGAACAGAGUGGUUUUAUUCUCUGUCUGAACCAGGAUGCAUGCAGAAGCAGGGGCAAGGCAACUGGCAGGAGGCAGGGCCAGGCAUUGUCACAACUCAUGAAGAGCGAGGUCACCACUUGCAGAUCCGAUAGACUCGCGCGCACUACUAAAAAAAAAUGCGUGUAUCGAAAAGGAUGGCACAUAUGAUCCGAUACAAAGAGUUUAUUCAUUCAGAGAGCUGCCUGCCUAUAACGAAGCAUAUGCAGCAACAGGAAACACAGAGGCCCAGCAAACCCGGUCAUGAGCAAGGCAAGGAUUGUAUUGCUGGCCUAGCAGCUGGUACGACGACGACAGAGAUAUAUAGAUGCAUAUAUGGUGUAAAGGUAAGGUAGUAAACACGAGUGAUCACUGCUCCGAAUCUGAUGACCGACAUCCAUCCAUAUGAUGCCCUGCCACCUUCUGAUCAGUUAAUCCUGCAUAAAACAGGUAAUAAUGGUCAACAAGAAGGAAGAAUCUGAAGAGAUGAUGAUGUGAGUGGUAAUUAAGCAGUAGUAGUUACUUGGAGCAGUCGACGUUGGGGCUGAUGGGUACGCCGACGCUGACGCCGCACUUGCUUGGGAUGUUGGCGGCGUUGCCCAUGCUGGCGCCGCCUCCGCCGAGCCUGCCGGUCAUGCUCUUGAGGCAGGUGCAGGCCGCCUGGCGGUCGGCGGUGGAGGAGGCCCUGGUGCUGAGGGACCUGACCCCGUUGCAGCACGCCGUCGACGGGGACGCCGCGCUGCCCAUCGCGUACCCCAGGCACGGCACCACCGCCGACGUCACCUCGCUGCAGCUCACGGCCGCCGACGCCGUCUCCGCCGCCACCAGCGCAGCCAGCACGGCCACCACCGCCACAACGGCAACGCGAGGAGCCAUUGCACACGCAACGACAAGUGUAUACUGUGUGACUACUGAUGUGAUCAGUGAAGUGUAAGCUAGCUGAUUGUUUGGUAGUUUUAGCUUGGAUUGUUGAGCUUGUGACGGGGAGGCAGGGUAUAAGUAGGGAGUGAGGUGAAUUUUGGAGGGUGGUGAUCUGGCCUCGUAGUACUGCUGCGUACAUGUGCAUGAGUGCAGUGCACCGGUGGUUGAGAGCACCAAACCUGCAGUUGACCGUACGUAGUAGGACGAGAUGAAUGCAUGCACGUGAUCGUGCCUCGUUCCAAUUGCAGGUUGUUUUAACUUUUCUAGAUUCAUAUAUAUUAUUAUGCAUCUAGAUAUAGUGUCCACUCAUUAUACACACGUACUACUAGCCACAACUUCAAUUGUUUCAAUUCGUUCGUAAUAAAGUAGAGUAAGCUCUUGUUUACUUCACCCCUAACUCCCAACUUUGGCACUAUGCAAAAAGAAGAUUCCCCAUCACAUCAAACUUGCGGUACAUGCAUGGAGUACUAAAUGUAGAUGAAAUUAAAAACUAAUUGCACAGUUUUGUUGUACUUUGCGAGACGAAUCUUUUGAGCCUAAUUAGUCAAUGUUUGGACAAUAAUUCACAAAUACAAACGAAACACUACAGUGUGCUACAGUGCCGGCACAGUAAUUUUGGCACUCCCAAUUUUGGCAACUAAACAAGGCCCAAAUAAGCAUCUAAUUAAGGGCCUGUUUGGUUACCGUGAACUAAAAUUUAGUCUACCCAUUUUAGCUCCUUUUAGUCUCUAAAGUGCCAAACAGCUGGACUAAAAUGUGGACUAAACCCUUUAAUCCUCUAGUCCAAGAGGGGUGGACUAAAAUGGACUAAAAGGCCUCGGAGACACCCCUACCCCUCAUUACUCCCCAUCCCACCCGUCUGAACCCUAUCUCUCCCUGCUGCCAGCGCUCUCUUCCUCCAGAAGCCUCGCCGCUCGCUCACAUCCCCGCUACCGCCGCUCGCUCCCCUCCCUACUCCCGUCGCUCGCUCCCCACGCCACCGCCACCACCUCCUCUCGUACCCACGCUGGAGCCACCGCCCCUGCUCCUCCCCACGCCAUAGCACCUGGUCCUCCCCACCACCGCAUCCAUCAUGGAUGGCCACGAGAACCAGUACCGGGACUUCUUCUCUCAGGCGAGUUCUUCAUCGGCGGCUACCCGCAGCUUCCCUGCUUCCUUGGACGCCGGCGACGAAGACAACUUCGGCCCCUUCUCCUCGCCGGCGGUCCACAGCCUCUCCGAUCCCCUGAUGCGCAUGGAGCACCUCGACCUCAACUCUCAAGCCGACGGCUUCCCCCACCUUGGCUCCUACCAGGAAUACCUCCAGGCGGAUGAUGCUGCCGGCAACCAAGGGCUACCUCUCCUUGCCCCUGGUGGCAGAUCUGCCGCGGAGGAGGCUGUGGAGGUUGCCGCUUGAGGUCCAUGACCACUAGAGCGGGAUCCGGUGGAGGCCAAGGGGGAGGCCGUGGGGGAUCCGUGUCUACCUGCGGAGGCAGAGGGGAAAGCCGUGUGGAAUCGAUGGUACACCGUGGAGGCCGUGGAUCCUCGGUUGCCAGCCACAGCUAUGUUCCUCUAGAGCAACUAGGCACAAUCGAGGAUGAAGAAGACGAUGGCUUUGAAGCCCGUUCCCAGUCGGUAAGAUCCAAGCUCCUCUGCUUUCCUAUGAUGUGAAUUUGUAGCUGAUUUUCUGUGAUGUGAAUUUGUAGCUGAUCUCCUGUGCUGCUGGUUACUUGUCAUGAGUUGAUUAUGAUUAUGAUAAGCUCCUCUACUUUCCUGUGAUGUGAAUUUGUAACUGAUUUCCUGUAAUGUCAAUUUGUAACUAAUUUCCUAUGAUGCCCUUAUUUGUCAUGAGUUGAUUAUGAUUAUGAUAAGCUCCUCUGGUUUUCUGUGAUGUCAAUUUGUAGCUCAUUUCCUGUGAUGUCAAUUUGUAGCUGAUUUUCUGUGAUGCCCUUAUUUAUAGUUGAUAAGAUUUUAUGUAAUAGAAUCAAUUUGAUAAGGCCAAUUGGUCCUAGGAAAACACACAUAUUUUCUGUAAUCUAGCAAUUGAACAAAUAAGGGCAAGGAAUUGCUUGAAUGGUACAAUGUCAGGUAGAGGUUAUAAUGUGGUGACAAGGUUUUUACACAAGAACUGGCCUCAAACAUUCUACCAAACAAAUGAGGAAUAGAUGGACACAAUGCAAAACUCUAUACACAUUCUAGGUUAUGCUUAAUAUCCAUACUGCUUUAAACCGAAGAGCUGAUGGAAUAAUCAUAGCAUCAGCAUCCUUUUGAAAAAAGAGACAGAGGUAAAAUAUCUUUGAACCUUGUUAUCACAUCUUCAAUGCUGCGGUUAUGUCUUCAUGUUUGUGAUAUAAUUCAUCUUUGUUUGUCUGUUUGUUUGUGUGUUUCAAAAAAAAUCUGAAUGUAAGAAGUUUCAGUAUGGAGUACCUACUUAUGUUGACCAACUAGCUGAAAUGUUUCAUGGGGUGACAGUAGAUGGAUCAAUCUCUUGCAUCCCUAGUCAAGCACCUUAUGACUCUAAAGGAGCAUAUGAUGAUGAGGAAGGUGAAGAUGCAGAUGGAGAAGGCUUUUGAGCAGUCCAAUGAGUAGUAACAGCCGCAAGAGGGCAAGCAACACUACAGAUACAACCACAAGUCCACCCAAGAAAAGCAAAAGUCCAAUAUUGAAGAUGUUUCAAGGGCUGAUUAUAGAGUUACAAAUUGCAAAAAAUAAGGAAGAAGAAACACUAGCUCAACUUACAAACAAGAAGAGCCAGCAGAAGAAGGAGAUCAAACAAGAUAUAGCAAGAUGUCUGGAAUUGGCUGUGGAGUGUGGAGCAGAUUAUGACUCAAAGGAAUACUACAUGGCUAUUGAAAUGUUUAGUUUUCAAUAUAAUCAACAAGUCUUUUACCAGUUUAAAAAGAAUGAAGACAUGUUGAAGUAGUUGAAGAGAUGCUACCAGGACUACAAUUGAUUUGAUGUUGUAACUUAAUUUAUAUGGAACAUAAUUUGUGUGUGGAACAGCUGUGUGCUGAACUUUUCAUAUGUUAUGAAUGUUUUUUGAAUUUAGAUGCUGCUGCUGGGAUUACAUUACAUUUUCUUGCUUGUUUGCUGCUGGUUAGUUGAUGCUGCUGGUUACUGCUACUUGAUGCUGUGUGUUGAACUUUUCAUGUUGCUGCUACUGAUUAUUUGCUACUGGUUACUGCUACUGAUUAAUUGCUGCUACUACUGAUUGCAGGGGUCUGAUGAUGAUUAGGAAAUAGCAGAAUAUGUCUUGAAGUGUCAGAAGAAGAGGAGAAGACUUGCUAUUAUGGCUAGUGCCAUUAUCGGUAUGUACCACUUUGACACAUACAUGAACAAAUCGAAGUACAGGUCUUGACGUGUUCUAUACUCUCUUUUGUCUCAUUAUUGUAAUAGUUGCCUUGUGACUUACAUAAAUUUUUUUGAAUAUGUAGGCAAGUUCUAUCUUGUCGACUCGAGGUAUCCAAACCGACCGGGUUAUCUUGCACCGUACAAGGGUACAAAGUAUCAUCUCCCGGAGUAUCGACAAGGUCCAAUGCCAAGAGGUAAAAACGAGCAAUUUAAUUAUGCACAUUCUUCACUUCGUAAUGUCAUCGAGCGGUCUUUUGGAGUUUUGAAGAUGAAGUGGAGGAUUUUGUUAGAUCUACCAAGUUAUCCGAUGCCAAAGCAAAGUUAAAUAAUUAUUGCAUGCAUGGCACUUCAUAAUUCCGAGAGAGUUUUUUUGGCGGAUGCAGACUUUGAUUUGGUUGAUCAUGAUGAAAACUUUAUUCCAUUCUCUGAAGCAUCGUCUUCUCAAGGAAAUGUAGCUAAUACACGUCACAGGGACGAAAAUCAAACCAUGUAUCAGUUCCGUGAUUGAAUAGCCCAUGGUUUGUUUAGUAGGUCAUAGCUGUCAUGGUUUCAAAUGUAUGGAUAAUUUUUUGAAUGUAUGAGCAUUUUUGCGAAUGUAUGACCAAUUUUGAUGAUGUGCCAUGCGCGCAAAAUCGGCUAGCAGCGCAGCCAGUAGCAAAAUAGGGGCACGACAGUACAACACAGGAGUGUUUGACAAGGCAGAACAUAUGAUCUUAAUAGGGGGUAAAGACAUCUUUGUUCAACUGCAUUAAUGGACUUUAGUCCAUGAAAUCAAACAGGAUACGGACUAAAGUCCAUUGAAAAAAAACAAACACGGGCUAAGUUUACCUUUAUAUUACUAGCUAGCUUUUGUAUUGAAUGCGUAACAUGUUUAGCCAUCAAAAUUUGGUGAGGUAGCUGCCAGCAGACAUGUAGUACCAACUGCAAUCAAACAAAUGCACAUGACUCUACGAUUUAAAUCCUGAUGGGAUGCCCACCCUUAUUUACGCACAGGCAGGCAGGGUGCUUUCAUCUAGAUCGACGUGAUUCCCUAUACAUAAGUAAGUUUAGUGGCACAAUAAUGCAAGUAUGCAACUAUAUAAGCAGCAGAAAAGGAGACGCAUCCAUUUCCCAUCACUGAAAAUUUUCGAUUCAAUUUCCUUGUAUAGAAUUGGGGAAGAUCUAGAUGAAUGAAUGAAUAUAUAAAACUAGGAGGGUAGAGAGUCAGAGUUUAGACCUUCGUGAAGAUGCCGGUUGCCCAUGGAUGGUAGUGGGCUGGUCCUAUGAGUUGUGGGCUUCUAAUUGGUUGCCACUUUCUUAUACUAUUGUAUUGGGCCGUACUUGAAGGAAAAUAUAAAGUUAUUGGGCCGAGAUAGCUUCGCCGAGCACGGUGUAUUUUGACAUAGCUUUGUGUAUAUAAAUCGAGGAUAUUACGUUCUUGUGAAUCAUGCAUGCACGUAGCUAGAGCUG